AAGCAUGUGUGGGAUAGGCAUAAGGCUAUCCUAACUAUAAGAUACGGUGAGGGACUAAUGAAAGUAUUUAGAAAAUUGGGCAGACUAGAUGGGCCGAAUGGUUCUUAUCUGCCAUCACAUUCUAUGUUACAUUACUAUCUUUCUUUAUCAUCUCUCUGCCAUGCAAUGUUCUGACUCUUUUUUCUAUGAUGGCCAACAUGAUGUUUCUCA